rnacentral:rRNA from 1 species
UACGGAGGGUGCGAGCGUUGUCCGGAUUUAUUGGGUUUAAAGGGUGCGUAGGCGGCCUCUUAAGUCAGUGGUGAAAGCCCGGGGCUCAACCCCGGAACCGCCAUUGAUACUGGGAGGCUUGAGUACAGACGAGGUAGGCGGAAUUGAGGGUGUAGCGGUGAAAUGCUUAGAUACCCUCAAGAACACCGAUUGCGUAGGCAGCUUACUAGGCUGUAACUGACGCUGAGGCACGAAAGCGUGGGGAGCGAACAGG